rnacentral:rRNA from 1 species
ACGCCCGAUCUCGUCUGAUCUCGGAAGAUA